UGCAUGUGUGUUUCGUUUACGUGCAAGACAGGUUUUUAAAUAAACCUUAUCGCUCAGUUCAUGAUGGAUCUAAUAAAAAGAUAAUUCAUAAAACGAGGGUGGUAGACGUUUUGUCCCAAGGAGCUGCAGGAGAAGUGACACAGAAGAAAGGCAAAGGUUAUGUGAGAUAAAGAAGAUGAUAGUGAUUGGCUUCGUGAUCUACACCUUAGUCGUCUUCAGCCGCAAUCAAUGAAGGCUUAAAAAACGAGUAUGAAAAUAAAAUUCCGGCUGAAAAAUUCACAUUUGUUUCUUUUCUCUUUGUAAAAAUAAUAUAAAAAAAUACGGUCACAUGUUUUAUUAUCAAAGCAAGACAAAGUAGCCGGAUCAUGCGAAAAUAGCAUACACAACCAGCCGAAUGGACAGGGGGGACGACAACGCCGAAACGGAGGAACAUCUCGUCGUGUGUGCAAGCGGUUCGGAAAACGAUCCGAUUUCCAGCCGGAACCGAGGGAGAAACAUGGUGGGAACGGCAGUUUCUUUAUGAGAAUAAACGGGAUCGUUCCAGGACAGGAAUGUGUGGGUUGUGUAGAGGAUGGCCCUAAGAUUCUUCCUUGAGAAGAUUGCCUUACCCGAUCGAAGUUUUACUUUACGUCUUGGAAUACAACUGUGCGGCAUUCCUACCAUCAAAGCGGUAACGAUGACGCCU
rnacentral:lncRNA from 1 species